AGGGACUUGCGGGUUUGCAUGCGUGCGUUCGUUCAUUCACUCACCCAAUUAUUCGUUAAUUCAACCAGUAUUUAUCAAUGCUUGCCUACUACGUAACAAGGGUUACAUUAUGAAGUUCUAGCUUUCAAAGAACUUACAGUCUAAUGGGGGAAAACACUGAAAUAUGUUGGUAGAGCGUCUUACUUAUUCAUAAUUGCCCUACUUGGACUGGGCAAAAAACUUGGAGAGCACAGCAGUUUCGAUGGUAGUAAAAUGGAGACAAGUUAGGAAAUCCAGACCCUGGCAGCCACCAUUCUACGCUUUGCCUCUAUGAAUUUGACUAUUGGAGAUAGCUCAUGCACCAUAGGAGCAGUGGCAGCUUGGCUGAUGAGCUAUAAGCCAGCCUUGUUUGGGUUCCUAUUCCUUCUGCUGUUGCUUAGCAACUGGUUGGUCAAGUAUGAACACAAACUCACCCUCCCAGAGCCCCAGCAGCUUAAAAGGAGGAAGAGAAACCAAAGACUUCUGAAAAUGACUCCAAGAACAACAAGGCCGUGAACACAAAAGAAGUCAAUAGAACACAUGCCUGCUUUGCCCUCCAGGACGAGAUCCUCCAAAGGCUAUUGUUCAGUGAAAUGAAGAUGAAGGUCCUAGAAAAUCAGAUGUUCAUCAUAUGGAAUAAAAUGAAUCACCACAGGCGGUCAAGCAGACAUCGGAAUUUUCCCAUGAAGAAACACAGAAUGAG